UACGAAGGGGGCUAGCGUUGUUCGGAAUCACUGGGCGUAAAGGGCGCGUAGGCGGCCGAUCAAGUCGGGGGUGAAAGCCUGUGGCUCAACCACAGAAUUGCCUUCGAUACUGUUUGGCUUGAGACCGGAAGAGGUAAGUGGAACUGCGAGUGUAGAGGUGAAAUUCGUAGAUAUUCGCAAGAACACCAGUGGCGAAGGCGGCUUAGUGGUCCGGUACUGACGCUGAGGCGCGAAAGCGUGGGGAGCAAACAGG
rnacentral:rRNA from 1 species